rnacentral:rRNA from 1 species
GGGUUGUGAGGUUAAGCGACUAAGCGUACACGGUGGAUGCCCUGGCAGUCAGAGGCGAUGAAGGGCGUGCUAAUCUGCGAUAAGCGCCGGUAAGGUGAUAUGAACCGUUAUAACCGGCGAUACCCGAAUGGGGAAACCCAGUGUGACUCGUCACACUAUCAUUAACUGAAUCCAUAGGUUAAUGAGGCGAACCGGGGGAACUGAAACAUCUAAGUACCCCGAGGAAAAGAAAUCAACCGAGAUUCCCCCAGUAGCGGCGAGCGAACGGGGAGGAGCCCAGAGCCUGAAUCAGCAUAUGUGUUAGUGGAAGCGUCUGGAAAGGCGCGCGAUACAGGGUGACAGCCCCGUACACAAAAGCGCAUGUGCUGUGAGCUCGAUGAGUAGGGCGGGACACGUGGUAUCCUGUCUGAAUAUGGGGGGACCAUCCUCCAAGGCUAAAUACUCCUGACUGACCGAUAGUGAACCAGUACCGUGAGGGAAAGGCGAAAAGAACCCCGGCGAGGGGAGUGAAAAAGAACCUGAAACCGUGUACGUACAAGCAGUGGGAGCACCCUUUGGGGUGUGACUGCGUACCUUUUGUAUAAUGGGUCAGCGACUUAUAUUCUGUAGCAAGGUUAACCGAAUAGGGGAGCCGGAGGGAAACCGAGUCUUAAUUGGGCGUUAAGUUGCAGGGUAUAGACCCGAAACC